rnacentral:rRNA from 1 species
GUAGGUGGCAAGCGUUGUCCGGAAUUAUUGGGCGUAAAGCGCGCGCAGGCGGUUCUUUAAGUCUGAUGUGAAAGCCCACGGCUCAACCGUGGAGGGUCAUUGGAAACUGGAGAACUUGAGUACAGAAGAGGAAAGCGGAAUUCCACGUGUAGCGGUGAAAUGCGUAGAGAUGUGGAGGAACACCAGUGGCGAAGGCGGCUUUCUGGUCUGUAACUGACGCUGAGGCGCGAAAGCGUGGGGGGAGCAAACAGGAUUAGAUACCCUGGUAGUCCACGCCGUAAACGAUGAGUGCUAAGUGUUAGGGGGUUUCCGCCCCGUUAGUGCUGCAGCUAACGCAUUAAGCACUCCGCCUGGGAGUACGGCCGCAAGGCUG